UUAUUACUUCCUCCGUUCCGAAUUACUUGUCUUAGAUUUAUCUAGAUACGGAUGUAUCUAGCACUAAAAUGAGUCUAAAUACAUCUGUAUCUAGACAAAUCCAAGACAAGUAAUUCAGAACGGAGGAAGUACUAG
rfam:Triticum aestivum genome assembly, contig: Triticum_aestivum_CS42_TGACv1_scaffold_404841_5BL